rnacentral:rRNA from 1 species
AUACGUAGGGGGCGAGCGUUGUCCGGAAUGAUUGGGCGUAAAGGGCGCGUAGGCGGCCCGGUAAGUCUGGAGUGAAAGUCCUGUUUUUAAGAUGGGAAUUGCUUUGGAUACUGUCGGGCUUGAGUGCAGGAGAGGUAAGUGGAAUUCCCAGUGUAGCGGUGAAAUGCGUAGAUAUUGGGAGGAACAACAGUGGCGAAGGCGACUUACUGGACUGUAACUGACUCUGAGGCGCGAAAGUGUGGGGAGCAAACAGGAUUAGAUACCCUGGUAGUCCACACUGUAAACGAUGAAUGCUAGGUGUAGGGGGUAGCGACCCCUUCUGUGCCGCAGUCAACACAAUAAGCAUUCCGCCUGGGGAGUACGGCCGCAAGGUUGAAACUCAAAGGAAUUGACGUGG